AGCGUGGCAACAAGUGUUUUUAAUUCUUUAUAUCCAGCAACACUACAUUUCAUGAAAGGCUUCAUCUUCAUGUUUGGAGGGAUUCUUCUUCUCAUUCCUGCUGCAAUUAUUGGACUGAUACAGUGCUGUAAGACUGAAGGGCAGUACAGACGUUUUACAGAUGAUUCUUGAAUCUUCUGGAGUAAAGCCUGAUGCCCAGAUUCCUGUGGGUCAGAAAAGACAAGGACAUUGCUGGAUUGCCAUUUUAAGGAAAUAGAUUUGUACUGAGCCUUCCUGAGGUGCCUGACCUGGAGGUGACACUUCGCCUUUAACUAAAUAAAAAAACUUUGUGCAUAAAACAACUAACAGCGACAACCUGUUUUUCUGGAAAAGUAUGGUUUUAUUCAAUGGUUAUAAGAAUUAUAAGUGAAAUGUUACUAAGAAAAAUACAAGCACACACAGCUUACUUUUAACACAUUAAUAUCAGUUUCAACUGACUUUUACUGUUUUUAACCCUAAAAUGUUACAUUGGAAAUACUAUUAUUUUAGGAAGUGUUCUGUAAUUCUAAACUAAUCCAAUUUUCUUUAAACAUACAGUUGUCAUGAAUUGUGUGGCAUUUAUGCAAACUAUGUGCAGGGAAGACUGUUCAUUGAGGAAGACCAUAUGUAGCACAAGUGCUGGAAUAUUGCUAAUCAUCUUUACUAAUAAAAUACUACUUUGUAUUAAGGUUA